UAAUACGUAGGGUGCAAGCGUUAUCCGGAAUUACUGGGUUUAAAGGGUGUGUAGGCGGUCUUUUAAGUCUGUGGUGAAAGGUUACAGCUCAACUGUAAAAGUGCCAUGGAUACUGGAAGACUUGAGUAAUAUAAAGGAAGGUGGAAUUCGUGGUGUAGCGGUGAAAUGCAUAGAUACCACGAGGAAGGCCGAUUGCGAAGGCAGCUUUCUGGAUAAUAACUGACGCUAAAACACGAAAGCGUGGGGAGCGAACAGGAUUAGAUACCCUGGUAGUCCACGCCGUAAACGAUGGAUACUCGGUGUGUGGUCUUCGGACUGCGUGCCUUAGCGAAAGUGUUAAGUAUCCCACCUGGGGAGUACGUCGGCAACGAUG
rnacentral:rRNA from 1 species